UAUUGAUCGGGAGCUGACUUCAGUCCAGGGACUUACGAGGAAAAGUUAAAAGGGGGACCAGUGUCUCAUGCUGAGGUCUUUGCAGAGACACAUAAGAAAAAGAAGAAAGACGAUUCAAGAGAAGGAUGGGUUGAGACACGUGCAUCGGAAUAAUAUGAGUGAUUCCGAGCUAUGUACAUGUUAUGGAAUGAAUUCAA